AAUAUAUAUUACAAUUACAAAAAUUGCAUUUUGAUCAUUGUUUUAAGAAAACUCACUAUUGGAAUAACCUCCAAAUUUGGUCAUAAUUUAAAGAAAAGUUAUUAUUGAAGAUCGAAUUAAGAUCAAUUUUUUGAUAAAAAAUCGAAGAUCGGUAUAUUUGACCAAAGAACGAGAAAGAGACAUCGGAAGAUGUGGAUGAAGAGACAUGGAGGAGUAGUCGAAAGAGAGGCAGCUCGGUUCAAUUUGACGAGGUGUAGGUAAACAGGGGAGAUCCGGCAAGUUUGUUUGGCUGUGGAGGCAACUACGACGACGUCCUUUAAUUUACGUUAGCACGUAACAUCGAUGUAACCGGGGUUCAGAGUAUCGGUUCUCUUCGCGAACUUAGUGACGACGAAUGGCGUGUACGCGUUCACCAUCGCCUUUAACCGUGCUUCGCGACUCGUGAUUUAACGCUGUCUGCGUAAACAAAAGGGGUGCCCUUUACAAAUAGUUAUCGUUUCUGUCUGUUAUAGGAAGCUAAAAAAAGAUAUUUAUACAUUUAAUUUUUUUUGCGAUAAUUCUGCAAAUAAGUGUGUAAAUAUAAAUUUAAAUAUAAAUAUAUUAAACAUAAAUAUGUAGG